CCGCCAGCUACUAAGUGAAAUCAAGGCAAAUAUGGCUACAGAAUUUGACAGGCAUCUCACACCCAUCAGAGAAGGCCUGAUUGACUUAACCCACAGAACUUCCACUAUUGAGGAACAACUGGACCUGACAGUUACACGCACAACAGCAACUGAAAAUGCCAUAACCGCCCUACAAGAACAGCUCCGCCAGCUAGAGGAGGCACAAGAGGACCUGAACAACCGGUCCCGCCG